UGGUUGGUCGGUCUGUGGAUUGGCCUGUUGGGUUGGUUUGCCUUGCUUUGCUGUUCUGCUGCUGUUGCUGCUUUGAUGGCCCGUCUGUGCAUGGAAAAAUCGUUGAUUGUAACGGCCUGGGUAGCCCUAUAAAUAGCAGCACUUUGAGCCGGUCGGAUCCAGUAGCUUCGUAACAACUCUGCUGGUUAAACGUAACGUGGAAAUUGGUUUGUAAGAAGAGGAACAUUUCAGAAUUCAAUUCAAUAAACUGCACGCCUGCAAAGACAACGACGACCACAGCAACGACAGUGACAUUAAGGCAACCAAAAUCCCAAACGGGCAGCAAACAGAAAUAAAAAAUACAAGGACUGCUGCAUGAAAAUUUUAAGAGACAAAAAUAUUCUUUAGCCAGAAAAUAUUGCAUAAAAACUGUUGUUAGCUUUCACAAUGAGCCAAUAGACCAGCCAUCGAAAAAGAACAGACUUGACAUUUAAAGCAAAACUCAAUAGCGGCAGACAUUUGAGCAAAACCAGCCAUUUUUUGUGCUUUUCCAAUAGGUACAUGCGAAACACACACACGACCACACUGUAAAACAGCUGACCAAUGCAAUUUUUUUGUAAAUUGACUGCAAAAAAAGAUUGUGUAAAAUUUUUUUAACAAAAUAUGCAGCAGAGACGCUGAAAAUGCAAUGAAAACUAUAAAAUUCAAACCAGAGCAAAAAUCAUAUAAUACAACCAGAAAUAGCCCAAAAACAAGCUAAGAUCCCGUAGUUCUGCCCAUACGCAGAAAAUGAAGAAAAGGCAAAGAAGACCUUAAAUUUGCUUUAAAACCCGCAGAAGAAAAAAAACACAUUACAAGCAAAGAGCACGAGUCAGGCGCGUCAUACCUACUGGCAGAGCAGAAGAAAACCAGUACAGAAAGCUAACGAAAAACAACCAUUUCAACACCAACCAGCAAGCACUCAGCGUCAGCAGAAAAAAGAUCCAGUAGCAAAUGAGUGAAAAGCAAAUCAGCUGCGAGUAGGCUAAACUGCUACUGAGCCAAAGAGGCUCCAACCGACAAACAAGCAACCGAUAUCUCCGCCAGCCCCACAAAGCAGCCGCCACUGAGAGUGUGAAUCCGAGCGCUUUUGAGCCAGAACCAGCCAGACAGCCAAGAAAUCUAGCCUGCCAGCACCGUGCCAGCGGCAGUGAACGUCAGUAGCAGCUGAGAGAGCGUCGACUAAGCAACGUCUAUUGAAUUUGGUGAAAUCACAGAGGUAACGGCGACGACAAGCAGAGGAGCGACCAGCUCACGCAAAGUAAAAAAAAAACGAAAAUUUUCCAAGACGUGGCGUGACGAGACGACGCGUACCCAACAAAAAGCUACAGUGGAUCCACCGGCAAAUGGUAAGAAAAUAUAGACGCGAAGAAAAAUAAAAGAAAGUGCAUAGAAGGCAAUUAGUGAAAGGCUGCUGAAAAGGAAAAGGAAGUGACAUUUAUGAAAUAAAUCCAAUUUCGAAGUGAAAGAAAAAGGACGAAACAGGUGAGACCGAGCAGACGCCAGACAAGAAAGCAAGUAAGCAGUAGAAAAUACGCCGAAGAAGUCUCAGUUUUGCCAUACAGGAAUUUGUGGUCGCCACAAAGAAGCCGGAAAAAGUGCAAAAGAACUUGCUGACAACUUACAGAAAGCACGCCGCAGCAAAGAUAAAAGCGCUCAAAGAGCCACACAAAAGCUAGCGAGCAGUGUGAGCAAGGAAACGGCAGUGAAAAAAAAAACAGUCUGUGGCAGUGGAAGAAAGCCAAAAGCCGCAAUUAAAUUGUGAAUGUCAGCUCAAGAAACCACAAAAGUACGUAGAAUGAGAAGUAAAGUGGAAAGAAGUAAAAGUGAAAAAUAAAACGUAGAUAAGAAGCACAAACGGGCCGGGUCGACAAAGCAAGUAGGGGAAGGAAAGGCGGCGAAAAUAUUUUUGUGAAAAGGCAAUACAGCUGCAGACGGACUUCCGGCAGGAAGGGCGCUUGGAGGAACGCAGUUAAGUGGCCAGCGCCGUCUUAAAACACAAAACGUAGAUAAACAAGUGCGCAGAAAAAGGCGAAACCACAAAUUUAACAAAUUACAAAUACGAAAAUAAAAUCAAGUGAUAUUUUAGUGCUGUGAAUGAGUGGAAGAAACAAGGAGUUGUCGACGAAGACGAAGCCUACGAAGAGCAGUGCAUAGAGCUGAAUAAGCAAACCAGCAGCUGCAGGAAACUCCCAGCCGGCCGGAAGGCAAAAAGUGAAGAAAAAUUACAAAACAAAACAGAAAAAAAAGAUUGCGGAAGUGAAAAAAUCCAGCAAGUCAACGCAUAUUGCAAGCAUAGCAGCUGAGGGUAGUAGCAAGUGGAGGACCAGUUUUCGGAAGAAUUUGCGAUUUUUGAGAAAACUAAGCCUUGCCAAAGUUUGAGAUUCGAAUGGAGGCAGCAGCAGCAGCUUGCAGAGGAAAUUUGUUUAGGCGUAGCGCAUAAAACCACACAAGUGCAGGGAUAAAAAUCAUUUCAUUUUUUAAAAAGCUAAUAAAAAUCAUUAAAAAAUAUUAAUAACAAAUAAACUUUGAAUCAAAAACUGAGCAAUUACACAAACCGUUAAUGAAAAUGUGAAUUGAAGCGGCUUGCGGCAAAAUCAAGUUUUCAUGUCCAAAGCAGCGGUCACAAAAUCAUUAACGAAAAAUAUUUACAAGCAACUGCGUAGCCAUGCGAGAGCAAUUUAACGUAUAAAGUAAUGAUAGAAAUUUAAACUAAUACAAAUCUAAGCAGCAGCGGUAUAACAAAUAUAUAACUACUCCUUUUUUAACGCCUUUUUAAAAUACCAAAAAAAAAGAAGAUAAAAAUAUUAAAAAUAAAAAUAAAAGCUAAAUAACCAACAGCAAACAAAUUACAAAGUAAUAAAAUAUAAUCAAUAACUAAUAAACAAUUCAUUAUAAUACAAAAACUCAACAAAUUAGAAUAACAAAUUUGCGUAACGGCGCCCAUGCAAAGACAAUUUCAAAUUGAACUUAGUUGUUAUUUUCAAAUUACGUUUUUGUUAAAUAAGUAAAAAGUAAACGUCUAAAGCAACAACUAUUGCUACAAAUAGCCACAACAAAUUAAUUAAUGUUUAAUAAUAAUUGUUAUAAAAACAAAACAAAACAACAUCGCAAGAAAAAACUACUAAAAUUUUAGCAUAAGCCUGAAGACUACAAAGCAACCCAGUUCGAGUUUUACGAGCGCACACCCACGCGACAAUGGUGAAAAUGUGUCGUAAAGCGAAUGACAACUAACACCCACGCGACAAUGGUGAAAAUGUGUCGUAAAGCGAAUGACAACUAAAGUAGCUGAAAAGUACGCAGGAAGCAGGCGGGAGACAGGCAGCCGCGCGCGACAGUCAUCGCAUGAUAUUCUAGCUAGAGUAGCAGGAGAGUAGCAUAGCAAUUUUGUGCCGUUUUGUGUUACGUUUUUUCUAACUGUGUGUUAAUUUUAUU